rnacentral:rRNA from 1 species
CAAUAGCGUAUAUUAAAGUUGUUGCGGUUAAAAAGCUCGUAGUUGGAUUUCUGCUGAGAACGACCGGUCCGCCCUUUGGGUGUGUAUCUGGCUCUUUCUUGGCAUCUUCUUGGUGAACGUUGCUGCACUUGACUGUGUGGAGCGCUACCCAGGACUUUUACUUUGAGGAAAUUAGAGUGUUUCAAGCAGGCAUACGCCUUGAAUACAUUAGCAUGGAAUAAUAAGAUAGGACCUUGGUUCUAUUUUGUUGGUUUCUAGAGCUGAGGUAAUGAUUAAUAGGGAUAGUUGGGGGCAUUCGUAUUUAACUGUCAGAGGUGAAAUUCUUGGAUUUGUCAAAGACGGACUACUGCGAAAGCAUUUGCCAAGGAUGUUUUCAUUGA